CGCAUCAGCUUGACAUUGCUCCAACUCUGUCUUGCCAGCCAAAUCUAUGGGAUAGAAAGAAGCCAUUUUGUAUCUACCAACAUGCUCAAUUUAAUUCACUAUUAAUGUGUCAACUAGGCAACAUAUUCAGACUUUAGAAAAUCAAAACAGUGUAAAACAGUUGUGAGGCAGAAGACAGGUUGGUGGUAGAGCUGGGAGAAAACUCUAGAAGUUUAUGCCCUAUUCUUCUUUGUAUAGCUUUAAAAAGUCUGGGGAAAAUCUGGCCCCAGUUUUCACCAUAAAGUUUCAAUUUUAAAAAUGAUAGGAUGUCUUAAACCUGGGACAACAAAAUGCCAUGAACUGAGAGCCAGGCAAGGCUGAGUCACGGUACUGACUUACAAGCAUCUCACCACGAAGCUAGCUAGGAGGUAAUGAUGGCAACUGUAGCUGAAUCCUGGGAGCUCCAUCUCUUGAUGGUCGGAUGCCCAUGGUGCUUAAACCGUUUGAGGCUGAGAUACAUUGUUUCUGUUUGUUGCAAGGCAUGUUCUUUCUAGAAGCAACAUUCCCUUCAAAUUGAAACAUUUCUUUCCGGAGGCAAACCAAGGCUCAAGAGCCUCCGGCGUUUAACAAAAAAGAAAUUGGGAAUAAAAAUGAAAAAAAAAAAGAAAAACAAACAAACAAAAAACAAAACAACAAAAAAAAAACAAACCUCACAAAACCUUUCAAGAUUCUUAAGAUAAUUUUUUGAAUUUUAAUUUUUAUUUGCAUGAGUGUUUUGCCUGCUUGUGUGCACCAUAAGCCAGCAGUUCAGAAGAGGGCAUCGGCUCCCCUGGAACUAGAGGUACUACAGACAGUUGUGAGCUGCCUUUAUGGGUGCUGGGAAGCCAGCCUGGAUUUUCCGGAAGAGUAGCCAGUGCUCUUAAUUGCUGAGCCAUCUCUUCAGCUCCAGUUUACAGGAUUUUCAAAGCUUUCAGUAGAAAAAAGAGUAAACAGUGGCUGGGUCCUCCUCCAGCCUCCUGAAUCAAGUCUGGAAACAAAGAAGAGUAUAUGUGCUCCGAAGCCCUGAGGAAACCUUGAUACACUUAUGAGUGGAGGACCGGGGACCCGAGGACUCCACAGAGGAAGCAGGAAGUGGAGCAUGAUGAGAGGAAGGCAGGGGCCAUCUCUGUUACCUUCACUCACUCAUGGUGCACCAGCUAAGGAGACUUCAGAUGACAGCCAGUGGAGGGGAGGAUGCCACCUUCCUAUUCUUCUGAGCAUGAUCAGAAUGAAAGGCACUUAAUCAUGACUCCAAUAGUGCAACAAGUUCCAGUCUUCAUGUGCUGUAUGUAUUUCUGUUUUUUUUUCUUGUCUAAAUCAUAAUACUCAACACUAGCAUGACAUGCCAAUCCAAUUUUCCAGCUAGAUUCUAGAAACAGCAUGAUGGCAAUAUGGUGUGAUACAGGAAGGGGAGGAUACUAUAUAAAGUGAGAUUAUGUGGCCUGCUGUGACAGCACAUGCCUUUCAUCUAAGCAUGGGUUAGGCUGUCACAGAAGGAUCAAGGGUUUAAGCCACUGUGGGUUAUAUAGCAAAUAGUAGGCAAACCAAGAAUAUGUAGUAAGACCCUGUAUAUAAAAACAUAAAAUGGCAAAAUAAAACAGCUGUCUGAAGCAUUUGGAGAAAGUUCUACUCAUGUAGAUGGUACGUUUAUAAUGUUCUAAUCUCUGGAGCCAUUGCUAAUUGCACUAUAGUAAAUAAUACAGUUAUUAAGCAAUUAUCAAAGAAACAUCAUUUUUUUUUCAGUUAUUCAAAGCCUUAACUACAAAUAUGUAUAUUACCUGUGUUUUUAGCCAAAUAUCUUGCUAUUGCGAGACUCUGGUGAAGGGUAAGUCCUCCCACCUCCAAAACAGGGAUUUUGCCAAAUGGAAGAGCUAAAACAGACCAAAUGUAGAGUCAACUUCAGAGCUGAACCAAGAAUGGUGAGAGAAGUCAGAAUAGUUGAAACAAGGUAUCCUAUAAAGUCAUGAAAGUCUUAAGUAUAGAGUAUAUAUACACAUAUAUAUUUAUAAACUUAAACAUAUGCUUACUUUAAGAAGCACUAUACUGUUACCCUAAGUCAUGGAGAUCGUGUGGUUAUCGUUCCACAGGACCAGUCCCUCCACGCACUCCAGCAGGUCAGAGAUGGGGUAGAUGUUAGGGUGGUGGGUGUACUGGGUGGUUUUGUGUGUUAACUUGACACAAGCUAUAGAGUCAUCAGAGGAAGGAAACUCAGCUGAGGAAAUUCCUCCUUGAGAUCAGCUGUAAGGCAUUUUAUCAUGUAGUGAUCAAUGGGGGACGGCCCAGCCCAUGGUGGGUGGUACCAUUCCUGGGCUGGUGGUCCUGAUUUCUAUAAGAAGGUGGGCUGAGCAAGUCAGGGGAAGCAAGCCAGUACGCAGCUCCCCUCCACGGCCUUUGCAUCAGCUUCUGACUCCAGGAUUCUGCUCUGUUUAAGUUCCUGUCCUGACUUUCUUCAGUGAUGAACGGAAGUGAUGAAGUGUAAGCCGAAUAAACCCUUUCCUCCCCUUUUUGGUCAUAAUGUUUUUGUCACAG